CGCAUCUGUGCAUGCAGCAUAUCAAUAAGCGGAGGAAAAGAAACUAACAAGGAUUCCCCUAGUAACGGCGAGUGAAGCGGGAAGAGCUCAAAUUUGAAAUCUUAAAGGGUUUCCCUUUACGAAUUGUAGUUUAAAGAAGUGUUUUCUGUUGAGGUUUUGGUAAAAGUUCUUUGGAAUAGGACAUCAUAGAGGGUGAGAAUCCCGUAUUUGACCUUUACUUUCAACUUUGUGAUACACUUUCAAAGAGUCGGAUUGUUUGGGAAUGCAGUCCAAAAUGGGUGGUAAAUUUCAUCUAAAGCUAAAUAUUGGCGAGAGACCGAUAGCGAACAAGUACCGUGAGGGAAAGAUGAAAAGAACUUUGAAAAGAGAGUUAAACAGUACGUGAAAUUGUCAAAAGGGAAGCGUUUGACACCAGUGUUGUUUUUCUGAAAAUCAAUUAAAGAACUGUUUAUGCUAAGCUGUUUAGACUUUAUCAGCUAAUCUGUUUAGUUUUGAGCUUUCCUUUAAUGCACUUUUCAGUUAACAAGUCAACAUCAAUUUCUUUUGCUGUAAAAAAGCUUGAGGAAGGUGGCUUGAGAUUCGUCUUAAGUGUUUAUAGCCUCUUGCCUAUGCAGUCGGAGAGAUUGAGGUCUGCAGCGUAGAUCCUUCGGGGCUAAAUGCAUUUGUGCUAAGUUAUAGCAUUUUAUAGACAACUUGUUGACUAUGAUUUGUCUUGUAGCUUACUCGCUUAUGUUAUUUUACCUACGCUUAGGAUGUUGAGUCGUAGAGCACGCAG
rnacentral:rRNA from 1 species